CCGCCUGUGGGCUGAAACAAAUUGUGCUCUAGCUUAGUUAGUAAAGCUAUUUAGGAGCUUAACUGAAGUCUGAGGAUCGGAUUUCAUUAGUCAGGAUUUCGAACAGCACCAGGACACUUGAUUUUUUUUUUUCUCCGUAUAUCGCAUAGCAGCCUGCGCGCGCGAUAGGAAUUGAUAAAGGUCACACAAGUGCACAAAGUUUAGGCAGAAAAGACAUGACCAUUUUCUCAUUCCAGUGCGUUUCGUGGCUCGUAUUACUAGGCUUCACUGCUCUGUUCGUCGCUGCUCUGGAGGAAGAAAACUUCUCCAACGGAGUCUUUGGUAAUUUCCUGGAGGAUCUAAGGGACCUGUCAGAUGUCAACAAAGCCAAUGUCAAGUUUUCUCUGAGAAACCCGUCCCAACCUGAUGAUGAUGUGUGUUACAUUGUACGUGGCAAACCAGAGACCCUCAACAUCUGUGACUUCAACAACACUUCGAAAACCUUUCUAGUCAUUCACGGGUGGACGGUAAGUGGAUUAUUCGAGAGCUGGGUUGAGAAACUGGUUGCUGCCCUUUAUGACAGGGAGAAAAACGCUAAUGUCAUUGUCGUGGACUGGUUGGACAUGGCACAGAACCAUUAUACGGUGGCAGCACAAAACACAAAGAUGGUGGGACAAGAGAUCGGACUCUUCAUAGAGUGGCUGGAGGAGACUAUCAACGUUCCUCUGGAGAAGUUGCACCUCAUUGGCUACAGUCUUGGUGCCCACGUUGCUGGUUUUGCAGGAAGUCAUGCAACGAACAAAGUUGGAAGAAUCACAGGUCUUGACCCUGCUGGGCCGGACUUUGAAGGGGUCCAUGCCCACAGACGGCUGUCCCCAGAUGAUGCCCAUUUUGUAGAUGUCCUCCACACAUUCACCCGAGGAUCCCUGGGUCUCAGUAUCGGUAUCGAGCAGCCGGUCGGCCAUGUAGAUAUAUACCCCAAUGGAGGAAGCUUCCAGCCUGGCUGCAAUCUGAGAGGAGCUCUGGAGAAAAUUGCCAGUUAUGGAAUACUUGCAAUGAAUAAUGCCAUCAGAUGCGAGCACGAGAGGUCCAUCCACCUGUACAUCGACUCCCUGCUGAAUGAGGAAGAAGCUAGCAGGGCGUACAGCUGCGGGAGCAAUGACAUGUUCGACCGCGGCAUGUGCCUCCAAUGUCGCAAGAACCGCUGCAACACUGUGGGCUACAAAGUCGGCAAAUUCCGCAGGGCACGAAGCGUUAAGAUGUUCACCAGGACACGAGGCUCCAUGCCAUUCAGAGUUUUUCACUAUCAGCUGAAAGUCAACUUCCUUGGAAAAAUAAAUCAAUUGGAGAUGGAACCAGUCCUGACUGUCUCACUUUACGGUACCAAUGGUGAAGCAGAAGAUCUCAAGUUAAACGUACAGGAGAGAAUUACCACCAAUAAGUCUCAUUCAUUCCUCGUUAUAACCGAGAAGGACAUUGGAGAUCUUCUGAUGCUGAAAUUUAAAUGGAAGGAGUCCACCUCCUCUUUACUCACUCUGCUCUCCUCAUGGUGGUAUGGGGAUUCCACAAAUUUUGACGUACAGAUCCAUAAAGUCCGAGUCAGAGCUGGGGAGACACAAAAAAAAAAAUUGUGUUGUGUUUAAAAGAUCACCAAACUGGAAGUUCAGUUCAAGAAGUUGUAUUUGUGAAAUGCAGGGAACCAUGGAGGUCUUUAUCUAAAAGGCCUAAAUUGAAGAGCCAAUGAAAUGAUUUGCAAGAGAUUUUGAUGAAGCACUUCAACAAAUGUAUUUAGAUGUUAUUUAUUAAGCCUGCAACUGCACUGUAUUGAAUAAUGUAUUGCUAUGAAUGUGAUUCAUGCAAAUGGAUUGUGGACUUUUGUACUAUCAUAUGGAAUAGGCUUAAAAAGUCUAGAAAUGUGAUUGAUUUCAUUAAAUAGCAGUGGAUUUAUAUUUGAAUGACUAUUUGAAUAUAUCUUUAUGUCAUUCUGA